AUCCAGCUGACGAGUCCUAAAUAGAACGAAACGCCUGUCCUGGAU
rnacentral:hammerhead_ribozyme from 1 species